UACGAAGGGGGCUAGCGUUGCUCGGAAUCACUGGGCGUAAAGCGCACGUAGGCGGACUUUUAAGUCAGGGGUGAAAUCCUGGAGCUCAACUCCAGAACUGCCUUUGAUACUGGAAGUCUUGAGUCCGGAAGAGGUAAGUGGAACUGCGAGUGUAGAGGUGAAAUUCGUAGAUAUUCGCAAGAACACCAGUGGCGAAGGCGGCUUACUGGUCCGGUACUGACGCUGAGGUGCGAAAAGCGUGGGGAGCAAACAGG
rnacentral:rRNA from 1 species